CCUACGGGAGGCUGCAGUGAGGAAUAUUGGUCAAUGUACGAGAGUCUGAACCAGCCAAGUAGCGUGAAGGAUGACUGCCCUAUGGGUUGUAAACUUCUUUUAUAUGGGAAUAAAAUGUUCCACGUGUGGGAUUUUGUAUGUACCAUAUGAAUAAGGAUCGGCUAAAUCCGUGCCAGCAGCCGCGGUAAUACGGAGGAUCCGAGCGUUAUCCGGAUUUAUUGGGGUUAAAGGGAGCGUAGGUGGAUUUUUAAGUCAGUUGUGAAAGUUUGCGGCUCAACCGUAAAAUUGCAGUUGAAACUGGCAGUCUUGAGUACAGUAGAGGUGGGCGGAAUUCGUGGUGUAGCGGUGAAAUGCUUAGAUAUCACGAAGAACUCCGAUUGCGAAGGCAGUUCACUGGACUGCAACUGACACUGAGGCUCGAAAGUGUGGGUAUCAAACAGGAUUAGAUACCCUAGUAGUC
rnacentral:rRNA from 1 species